rnacentral:misc_RNA from 1 species
GUGGAAAUGUGGAGAAUAUCAUCUGACCUUUACGAAUAACCCGUAGUCCACAAUCCCCAACACUAGCUAUCUUCAAAAUUCCGUUCUCGAAUACAGAAACAAUUACCGUAGCUGAACCAAUAGAUGAUGUAGCAGCAUGGGCUCCCUUUAUGAGAAUCCGAGGAUCAUCAUUGACCUCCACAUUCCCCACCAAAGAAGAAACGUUAGCCACCAAUUCUCUGGAGAACAGUGCAGGAUCCACAUUCUUUUCAGCCCAACCAGAAACACCAUCAGCAACAACAAUCACUCCUCCAUUAUCACUGCUCACAAAGAAUGCAUCUUCUCCACCUUUCUCAACCUUGUUGGGAU